rnacentral:rRNA from 1 species
AUUGAACGCUGGCGGCAUGCUUUACACAUGCAAGUCGAACGGUAACAGGCCGCCAGGUGCUGACGAGUGGCGCACGGGUGAGUAAUGCAUCGGAACGUGCCCAGUCGUGGGGGAUAACUACUCGAAAGAGUAGCUAAUACCGCAUACGAUCUAUGGAUGAAAGCGGGGGACCGUAAGGCCUCGCGCGAUUGGAGCGGCCGAUGUCAGAUUAGGUAGUUGGUGGGGUAAAGGCUCACCAAGCCAACGAUCUGUAGCUGGUCUGAGAGGACAACCAGCCACACUGGGACUGAGACACGGCCCAGACUCCUACGGGAGGCAGCAGUGGGGAAUUUUGGACAAUGGGCGCAAGCCUGAUCCAGCAAUGCCGCGUGCAGGAAGAAGGCCUUCGGGUUGUAAACUGCUUUUGUACGGAACGAAACGGCUCUGGUUAAUACCCGGGGCUAAUGACGGUACCGGAAGAAUAAGCACCGGCUAACUACGUG